rnacentral:rRNA from 1 species
AGUGAACGCUGGCGGUAGGCCUAACACAUGCAAGUCGAACGGCAGCACAGUAAGAGCUUGCUCUUACGGGUGGCGAGUGGCGGACGGGUGAGGAAUACAUCGGAAUCUACUUUUUCGUGGGGGAUAACGUAGGGAAACUUACGCUAAUACCGCAUACGACCUACGGGUGAAAGCAGGGGAUCUUCGGACCUUGCGCGAUUGAAUGAGCCGAUGUCGGAUUAGCUAGUUGGCGGGGUAAAGGCCCACCAAGGCGACGAUCCGUAGCUGGUCUGAGAGGAUGAUCAGACACACUGGAACUGAGACACGGUACAGACUCCUACGGGAGGCAGCAGUGGGGAAUAUUGGACAAUGGGCGCAAGCCUGAUCCAGCCAUACCGCGUGGGUGAAGAAGGCCUUCGGGUUGUAAAGCCAUUUUGUUGGGAAAGAAAAGCAGCAGGUUAAUACCCCGCUGUUCUGACGGUACCCAAAGAAUAAGCACCGGCUAACUUCGUG